CAUGCGCAGAAAUUCUUUUCAAAGGUCAGUCAACACCUACUUGCCUGAGUCUCAUAUCAACUUAUAUUUCUAUUUCUAUAUCUCUUGGCAUCAUGAAAUAUGAUGAUCCUGCAAUGGUAUUAAAUUGUUAACUAUUUUUUUUUUAUAUGGUGUAAUUCUAUUGAUGUGUUUAUUUUUCAUUGAUGCUCUCUGCAAGUAAACUGAAUGUGUAUGUUGUUUUCUCAUAUGUCUGAUCUGCAAAAGACACACAGGCGCACAAACUGAGCAUUAAAAGAUUAUUAAGAGCUUGGCUAUGCAGAACACUUUUUGCUUGUAGCCUUUGACGUAAUUUAACUAAUAAUUGUCAACUCAAGCACCCAGGAGAGUAUUUUUAAUCUGAGCAUUUUUUUCCCCUUUCAUAUGUUUGGCCUUUUCACGGUCUUUAUGGUCUUGUAGGUUGCAUCAUAAUCUAUCAAACUGUCUUUGUAAACUUCUUGUUGACAUUAUGGAUGCUCUUAGUUUUGGCACUCAAGUAAGUUGAUCUUGCAGUACUACAAGGACGAUUUCGGCUAAUGACUAAACCUAGAAUUUUGUGCUGUUUAGGAUUGGAACCUGAUACCAAUCAAGGUUCAAAAAUAGCAAGCAAAUUGAAUUUAUGUGCGAUAACUUGUGAAGGUCAGGUCUUCUAGUAGUACUGGUGUCUGUCAUUCAGGCCAACAUGUAAUUGUAUGACCAUGAGCAGCAUGGUUUUAAAUCGCGGUCGCAGUCACAAUCGAGGUCACGGUCGUAGUUAAUGGAAAUGGGCCUGUAACGGCUUGGCGCUACGCAAAUUUUUUUGAAAAA
rnacentral:misc_RNA from 1 species